rnacentral:lncRNA from 1 species
GCCUGCUGCAGGGGCUACCUGGCCAGGAAAGCAUUUGCCAAGCGGCAGCAGCAGCUUACCGCCAUGAAGGUCCUCCAGCGGAACUGCGCUGCCUACCUGAAGCUGCGGAACUGGCAGUGGUGGCGGCUCUUCACCAAGGUCAAGCCGCUGCUGCAGGUGAGCCGGCAGGAGGAGGAGAUGAUGGCCAAGGAGGAGGAGCUGGUGAAGGUCAGAGAGAAGCAGCUGGCUGCGGAGAACAGGCUCACGGAGAUGGAGACGCUGCAGUCUCAGCUCAUGGCAGAGAAAUUGCAGCUGCAGGAGCAGCUCCAGGCAGAAACCGAGCUGUGUGCCGAGGCUGAGGAGCUCCGGGCCCGCCUGACCGCCAAGAAGCAGGAAUUAGAAGAGAUCUGCCAUGACCUAGAGGCCAGGGUGGAGGAGGAGGAGGAGCGCUGCCAGCACCUGCAGGCGGAGAAGAAGAAGAUGCAGCAGAACAUCCAGGAGCUGCUGCAGGAGGAGAACCGGCAGAAGCUGAGCCUGAGCACCAAGCUCAAGCAGGUGGAGGACGAGAAGAAUUCCUUCCGGGAGCAGCUGGAGGAGGAGGAGGAGGCCAAGCACAACCUGGAGAAGCAGAUCGCCACCCUCCAUGCCCAGGUGGCCGACAUG